rnacentral:rRNA from 1 species
UCCGGUUGAUCCUGCCGGCGGUCACUGCUAUCGAGUUUCGGCUAAGCCAUGCGAGUCACAGGCCGAAAGGUACUGGCGGACGGCUCAGUAACACGCGGAUAAUCUACCCUCAGGUGGGGUAUACCCUUGGGAAACUGAGGCUAAUCCCCCAUAGGUCCUGUAAACUGGAAUGUUUUAGGACUGAAAGUCACGGCGCCUGAGGAUGAGUCUGCGGCCUAUCAGGUAGUAGGUGGGGUAAAGGCCCACAUAGCCUAUGACGGGUACGGGCCCUGAGAGGGGUAGCCCGGAGAUGGGUUCUGAGACACGAACCCAGGCCCUACGGGGCGCAGCAGGCGCGAAACCUUCGCAAUGCGCGCAAGCGCGACGAGGGGAACUCGAGUGCUAUUAUCCUUUUGGGUGAUAGCUUUUCUCGAUCCUAAAAAGAUCGGGGAAUAAAAGCUGGGUAAGACGGGUGCCAGCCGCCGCGGUAAUACCCGCAGCUCAAGUGGUGGCCACUAUUAUUGAGCCUAAAGCGUCCGUAGCCGGUCUUGUAAAUCUCUGGGUAAAUCCCAUCGCUCAACGGUGGGAAGACUGGAGAGACUGCAAGACUAGGGAUCGGGUGAGGUAAGAGGUACUCCUGGGGUAGGGGUAAAAUCCUGUAAUCCUGGGGGGACGACCGGUGGCGAAGGCGUCUUACUAGAACGACUCCGACGGUGAGGGACGAAGGCUAGGGGAGCAAACCGGAUUAGAUACCCGGGUAGUCCUAGCUGUAAACGCUGCCCACUUGGUGUUGCCCUUUCGUAGGGAAGGGGCAGUGCCGGAGCGAAGGUGUUAAGUGGGCCGCUUGGGGAGUAUGGUCGCAAGGCUGAAACUUAAAGGAAUUGGCGGGAGAGCACCGCAACGGGAGGAGCGUGCGGUUUAAUUGGAUUCAACGCCGGG